AUUGAACGCUGGCGGCAGGCCUAACACAUGCAAGUCGAGCGAGCGGCAGGCGGGUGUGUAAUGUAUGGGGAUCCGUCCGAUAGGGGGGGAUAACAACUGGAAAGUGUGGCUAAUACCGCAUACUAUCAGAUGACACCAUAUGGGAUUAGCUAGUAGGUGGGGUAAAGGCUCACCGAGGCCACGAUCCCUAGCUGGUCCGAGAGGAUGACCAGCCAUACUGGAACUGAGACACGGCCCAGACUACUACGGGAGGCAGCAGUGGGGAAUAUUGCACAAUGGGCGCAAGCCUGAUGCAGCCAUGCCGCGUGUAUGAAGAAGGCCUUCGGGUUGUAAAGUACUUUCAGCGGGGAGGCGUUACCCGCAGAAGAAGCACCGGCUAACUCCGUGCCAGCAGCCGCGGUAAUUC
rnacentral:rRNA from 1 species